GAACCUGCGGAAGGAUCAUUGUCGUGACCCUGACCAAAACAGACUGCGCACGCGUCAUCCAAUCCGUCGGCGACGGCACCGUCCGUCGCUCGGCCAAUGCCUCGACCACCUCCCCUCCUCGGAGCGGGUGGGGGCUCGGGGUAAAACAACCCACGGCGCCGAAGGCGUCAAGGAACACUGUGCCUAACCCGGGGGCAUGUCUAGCUUGCUAGCCGUCCCUCGUGUUGCAAAUCUAUUUAAUCCACACGACUCUCGGCAACGGAUAUCUCGGCUCUCGCAUCGAUGAAGAACGUAGCGAAAUGCGAUACCUGGUGUGAAUUGCAGAAUCCCGCGAACCAUCGAGUCUUUGAACGCAAGUUGCGCCCGAGGCCACUCGGCCGAGGGCACGCCUGCCUGGGCGUCACGCCAAAACACGCUCCCAACCACUCUCAACGGGAAUCGGGAUGCGGCAUCUGGUCCCUCGUCUCUCAAGGGACGGUGGACCGAAGAUUGGGCUGCCGGCGUACCGCGCCGGACACAGCGCAUGGUGGGCGUCCUCGCUUUAUCAAUGCAGUGCAUCCGGCGCGCAGCUGGCAUUAUGGCCUUUGAACGACCCAACAAACGAAGCGCACGUCGCUUCGACCGCGACCCCAGGUCAGGCGGGACUACCCGCUGAGUUUAAGCAUAUCAAUAAGCGGAGGAGGAUCCGUGU
rnacentral:rRNA from 1 species